UUCCGGUUGAUCCUGCCGGACCUGACUGCUAUCGGAUUGAUACUAAGCCAUGCUAGUCUUUGUAGUAAUACAAGGCAUACGGCUCAGUAACGCGUAGUCAACCUACCCUAUGGACGGGGAUAAUCUCGGGAAACUGAGCAUAAUACUCGAUAGAUCAUAAUGCCUGGAAUGGUUUAUGGUUAAAAUGAUUCGUCGCCAUAGGAUGGGACUGCGGCCUAUCAGCUUGUUGGUGAGGUAAUGGCCCACCAAGGCGAUUACAGGUACGGGCUCUGAGAGGAGAAGCCCGGAGAUGGGUACUGAGACAAGGACCCAGGCCCUAUGGGGCGCAGCAGGCGAGAAAACUUUGCAAUGUGCGAAAGCACGACAAGGUUAAUCCGAGUGAUUUCUGCUAAAGAAAUCUUUUGCAAGUCAUAAAACCACUAGUGAAUAAGGGGUGGGCAAGUUCUGGUGUCAGCCGCCGCGGUAAAACCAGCACCUCAAGUGGUCAGGAGGAUUAUUGGGCCUAAAGCAUCCGUAGCCGGCUCUGUAAGUUUUCGGUUAAAUCCAUGUGCUCAACACAUGGGCUGCCGAAAAUACUGCAUAGCUAGGGAGUGGGAGAGGUAGACGGUACUCGGUAGGAAGGGGUAAAAUCCUUUGAUCUAUCGAUGACCACCUGUGGCGAAGGCGGUCUACCAGAACACGUUCGACGGUGAGGGAUGAAAGCUGGGGGAGCAAACCGGAUUAGAUACCCGGGUAGUCCCAGCUGUAAACGAUGCAGACUCGAUGAUGCAUUGGCAUAUAGCCAGUGCAGUGUCGCAGGGAAGCCGUUAAGUCUGCCGCCUGGGAAGUACGUACGCAAGUAUGAAACUUAAAGGAAUUGGCGGGGGAGCACCACAAGGGGUGAAGCCUGCGGUUCAAUUGGAUUCAACGCCGG
rnacentral:rRNA from 1 species